UACGAAGGGGGCUAGCGUUUUUCGGAAUCACUGGGCGUAAAGCGCACGCAGGCGGAUCGAUAAGUCGGGGGUGAAAGCCCGGGGCUCAACCUCGGAAUUGCCUUCGAUACUGUCGGUCUCGAGUCCGGGAGAGGUGAGUGGAAUUCCUGGUGUAGAGGUGAAAUUCGUAGAUAUUAGGAAGAACACCAGUGGCGAAGGCGGCUCCCUGGCCCGGUACUGACGCUCAGGUGCGAAAGCGUGGGGAGCAAACAGG
rnacentral:rRNA from 1 species